rnacentral:rRNA from 1 species
AUGCUUAUAGAUGUUUCUAUUGAGAAAGUGAAAGGGUUGAUUAUUUUUUCGAAGGGUAUAGAGAAAGUGGCUAGUUAGAAGCAUUGGAGAUAGCCAAAAAAAAUUGCACUUGAUAUGAUUAUUAGUACAACAUUUCAUGAAAGACGAGAAAUUAAGAGGAAGAGACAUUUUGAUGAGAACCCAGAUGACAAAAAUGUUGCCACACAGUCUGUAGAGGAAUCAUUUAGAAACAGUUAUUUUACAACUAUUGUUGAUCAAGCAAUUAUGUCACUUACAAGCAGAUUUGAACAAUAUGGUUAGCAGAAAGAUUUUCGUUUCUUAUUUACUUCCAAAUCAUUGCAGUCAUUGGAUAAUGAGAGCUUGAAAUCUUCUUGUGAUAAUCUUGAGGCGGCCCUUAAAAAAGAUAGCAAAUCUGACAUUGAUGCCAAUGAACUGCAGUGGAGUUGA